rnacentral:rRNA from 1 species
UGGGGAAUAUUGGACAAUGGGCGCAAGCCUGAUCCAGCCAUGCCGCGUGUGUGAAGAAGGCCUUAUGGUUGUAAAGCACUUUAAGCGAGGAGGAGGCUACUUUAGUUAAUACCUAGAGAUAGUGGACGUUACUCGCAGAAUAAGCACCGGCUAACUCUGUGCCAGCAGCCGCGGUAAUACAGAGGGUGCAAGCGUUAAUCGGAUUUACUGGGCGUAAAGCGCGCGUAGGCGGCUAAUUAAGUCAAAUGUGAAAUCCCCGAGCUUAACUUGGGAAUUGCACUCGAUACUGGUUAGCUAGAGUGUGGGAGAGGAUGGUAGAAUUCCAGGUGUAGCGGUGAAAUGCGUAGAGAUCUGGAGGAAUACCGAUGGCGAAGGCAGCCAUCUGGCCUAACACUGACGCUGAGGUGCGAAAGCAUGGGGAGCAAACAGG